GCGUGUUUUACCGUAUUUUGAAAUCUCUUUAUUGAACAUUGUUUUAAACAGUAAUAAUAAUACAUUUGGGGUUUAUAAGUAGAAGCAAAAUGUCUGCUAACAAUAGCACAAGGGCUGGGAGGUGGGAAAUGGAACCAGGCAGUUGUAAGAUUAUUAAAUUACAUGGGAAGUGAUGCCAUAUUAUUUGUUAUUCUUGGGUAUUCUUGAUAAGUUAAUGCUGUGUAUUGUCAACUCCAGAGCAACCAUUUAUAAAAACAAACAUGAUUCAUACACCACUUACAAAGCUAACAAAAAUGUAAUAUAAACCCAUGCACACUGUGUUCCAGCAGAACUUCAAAACAAUUCUUAAAUGAUGACUUGGUGGGAAUUAGUUACUAGAAUUUUCCUUCAUGGCCUUGCAGACCGAGGACUUCCGCCAGCUUUCGCAUGGGAGAGCGUCCUGGCACGGGGUGUCUUUGACGUGGGCAGACUGAGGACUUCAGCCAGCUUUCAAAUGGGAGAGCGUCCUGGCACGGGGUGUCGUUGACGUGGGCAGACCGAGGACUUCAGCCAGCUUUCACAUGGGAGAGCGUCCUGGCACGGGGCGUCGUUGAUGUGGGCCAUGAGUUUGCACCUUUUCAGAUGGUGGGAAGCCACUCACAAGUGACAGAGGGUGUCACAUGAUACACAAAACCGAAAGGAAGCCCUAAUCCCGGCAGGAAAGGUCUGUGUGAGGAUUCACCAAGAGUGGACGUCCAGGAGUGUGUGACGCCGGAGCCGGUGUGCCCCACGCAUGUGUAGGUGCUCACAGGCACACGCCUGCACGGAGGGCUGUCUGUCCAGGCCACUGCUGUGUGGUGGCCUCACUGCUGCCUUCCUUAAUGGCUGAUAACACUAAACUCUUUGAUGUAUCCAAUUCCCUGCUUUAUUUUAACUCAGAUUAUUCCUUACUGUGCCUUUGGCCAUCAAAUAUUGACUGCAUGAUAACAUUGUACUUUGUUUCUGUUGUCAGUGCAUGACGUUUUCCACUCUCUAGGGAGUUCCACUGCCAAGAGAACACAACUCAUCACCAGAGGAGACAGGAUCGGGGAGGAGGCGGCCAGGCCAGCCCUGGCCCCGGCCACAGGAACACUGGCGUCCCCUGGCUGGGAAAGGACAAGAUACACCGAGUUUUCCUGUGUGUUCAGGUGUUUGUUCCGAGGGUGCGUUAGUGGACGAAUUCCUCCACCUGUGCAUCUGGAGACCUGGGGAUGUCUAUGCUCUUUGCCCCCUGCCAGGGUUGAGCAUGUGAUCAUAUCUCCAGCGGACGACACCAAAAGAAUGUCUGUGACCUCGUCCCCUGGCGACCACGUCUACAGUGACUGAGUGCUGCCGUGGCUGGAAAGCCAGGGUCUGCAUCUCCCAGGACCUCAGGACCUGUGAUGAGGUGUUGUGGGGCCAAGAAGAGGAGGGGGUCCAUGGUGGGCUCUGCCGCAGGUGACCCUGCGCACUGUCCUAGCACCUGUGCCUAAGGAGAUGCCCUCUAUGGUACCAAGCAUCUCCCAAAAUGUGAUUUGCUCUUCCUGUGAUAGAAUGGAGUGGGCUGAGGGGGCGAUGGGUGCUGGAAAGCCACAAGGCUGCCAUUGAUCUGCCAGAGAAGGCACCUGCUCACCUGGCAGGAUGCUCACCUGGCAGGAUGUUCACCUGGCAGGAUGCUCACCUGGCAGGAAUAGCAAAUUUGCUAGAAAAAUGCAGGUUCCCCUGUUCUGGGUGAUCUGUGACUUCUGCCACACAGGGGAUCCAGAGUGCGAGGAUAUCCAGAGAGCUGGAAUGAGGAUUUUGCUGAGCUGAGGGCUAAGCUUGAAGCAGAAGAAACCACAGUAAAAACACUGGUCAAUGUAUGCUCGGAUCUACUCAGCGACUUUCCAGAGAGCCGUGUGGCUUUACUAAUGACAGACAUCGUGGUGCAUUCCAGACCCCUGGGCUUGUUCAUCUGACGUCACUGCAACCUCCUGAUUCCACUCAAUAGGCCAAGACAAGCGGAAGCUCCGGUUCAGGGAGAACGUUCCCCAGGAAAUCAGGGCAGCAGAGUUUUCCAGGAACGGAGGCUGUGACGGUGGAGGGUGGCCAGGCAGCAGGAGGCCGGGGAAGCGGGUGUCCUGAAGCAGAGGCCGCGGCGCCACGUGUAUGGCAGCUUGCAGAGUCCUGCAAAGUGGAUCUUGAUGCUGUGGCCCUUACGGGUGAGGCGGGAGCAGCCCAUAGAUGCCGGGGCCUGGCCGGCCUGGGCUUUUCUCUGUGCAGCCUACAGGGGAGCCUGUAAGGGCCUGCAGCCGGUGCUCCGAUACAGCGGCUGGGAAGUGGAACACUUGGCAACUGCUGGGUCACCUCGCUGUGUUUUCUGAGGCACAUGUGUUUUGGAACGUAGUGUUAGUGAACGUCCGUCCGUGAGGGCUUCCAUCUCUCAGGAUAAAAGCCAAAGUGAUUGCUCCAAAUGGACAUCCAUGCCAGUCAUCUGUGUAAGGAUCGCUGAGUGUCUCACAAAAGCACGUGGGUAUGAAGGUGGGGUUGACAUUGAUGAUUAAACCAAGCAGUACAGAAGCAUCGGUGCUGGUCACUUAUCCCCGUCCUUCCCAUCAUUCGAGAUCCCCUUCCAGCGAAUGGCAUCUUCUGGUGUGUGCAGGACCCGAUGGAGGAGUGAUGAGACCUCAGAGCCAUGUCCAGGCUCUUCCAGUCAGUUGGUGGCCUCCACAAAUGCCAGCCAGCCCGCCCAAUGCAAGCUUCUGCUUGGCCAACGUGUAGCAGUUACGAUGCAGCAAUUGGAAGAGGCUGUGGGGAUCAGUAAUUCCAGUGGGGGAGCGACGGACACCCCUAAGAACCCAUUCCACGAUUUUAGUCCCAAAUUGGAUUUUGCUUGGAGAAAUUCUCUGCCCUGUAGUAGUGGUUUUUAAGAUCACAGAUAUUGGAGUAAGAAAGACAAGGCUCUUCUAUUUGCUGGUCUAUUGACUCACAGGGGAAUACCAGAGAACUUGGCAUCCAGAAAACAGUCAACAAAUGAAGACAGUGCAACUAAGACCUGGGCGCCAUGUUCCUUCCCUAAGGCUCAUUUCACUAGGAUGCUGUGUCAGCACGCGCACACACACACACACACACACUCACACACUCCAGGAAGCCUCUAAAAGAAAUGCAAGUGUUCUCCAGUAGAAGGAGCAUCGCUGAAAUUUACUCAACAGCACGGUCUUCGUGUCUUUCCCUCCCAGGCCCACACUCUCAGCUGCCUCCUCCCCUCUCGCUCCUUUCCUCCUGUGUUCUCCAGCAAGGGUGAGGACCCACUGUCAUUCAGAAAACCUCCUCCUAGUUUUUCUAUGCAGGGAGUCAUUCACACAUCCAGCAAGGAAAACAGGGGCUUGUGCAGACUCUCCUUGGGAGGUAAUGGGAGAGGGAUUCUAAAUGCUUGUCACAUUUUUACCUGACACUGUUACUACCAUGUAACUACUAAUAACUAAUGCCAACUUCUGAAUCAUAUUUCCUAUCAUCUUAUGAGAGAGAACUCUGUGGUGUAUAAACACCAAAUCACAAAUCUCCACUUUACAUUCUUGUUUGUCUACUUGUUUGUCUGUUUUCCACUGCAGUGCAGGAGCCCGUGGAGGAGACCCGGUUUCCAGCACCGAGGGGCUCAAGAAUCUCAGGUCACCUGUGAGAUGAGCUCUGAGCACUUGCCCACACUCCUGAGCAUGAACAUAAAGCCCCAUCACAUGCAGUGGCAGAUGGUUAAGACAACAACCAACCAUCUCGUCAGAUAAAAGCUUCGCUCCACUUAAAGUGGAUGAUUUUUAAAUUUGUUUGUAAAACCUUUGAUAUUUGACUACUAAGAAAUUAUAAGAUCCCUAUGGACAGGCAACUAAUUUUCUACAUUUCCUGGUUCUUUAAAAAUAAAUAAUUGUCAUAGGUCCUUAUUAAAGCUCUCAGAAUUGUACUUUUGAUUUCUAAUAAAUGCCAAAAUAUAUCUUAUCAAAUAUU
rnacentral:lncRNA from 1 species